rnacentral:tRNA from 1 species
GGAGAGGUGGCCGAGCUGGUUGAAGGCGGCACCCUGCUAAGGUGUUAUAGGGGCUUAAACCUCUAUCGAGGGUUCGAAUCCCUCCCUCUCCG